GACGAACGCUGGCGGCGUGCUUAACACAUGCCAGUCGAACGGAAAGGCCCUGCUUUUGCGGGGUGCUCGAGUGGCGAACGGGUGAGUAACACGUGAGUAACCUGCCCUUGACUUUGGGAUAACUUCAGGAAACUGGGGCUAAUACCGGAUAGGAGCUCCUGCUGCAUGGUGGGGGUUGGAAAGUUUCGGCGGUUGGGGAUGGACUCGCGGCUUAUCAGCUUGUUGGUGGGGUAGUGGCUUACUAAGGCUUUGACGGGUAGCCGGCCUGAGAGGGUGACCGGCCACAUUGGGACUGAGAUACGGCCCAGACUCCUACGGGAGGCAGCAGUGGGGAAUAUUGCACAAUGGGCGGAAGCCUGAUGCAGCAACGCCGCGUGCGGGAUGACGGCCUUCGGGUUGUAAACCGCUUUCGCCUGUGACGAAGCGUGAGUGACGGUAAUGGGUAAAGAAGCACCGGCUAACUACGUG
rnacentral:rRNA from 1 species